UAGUUUGGUCCAUGCUCAGAGCAUCUUGGCUAUCUGGGCCACCCAAGUCAUCUUGAUGGGUGCUGUUGAGGGCUACAGAAUUGCCGGUGGACCAUUGGGUGAGGUUGUUGACCCACUUUACCCUGGUGGUAGCUUCGACCCAUUGGGCCUUGCAGAUGAUCCAGAGGCUUUUGCUGAGUUGAAGGUGAAGGAGAUCAAGAAUGGGAGACUGGCUAUGUUCUCCAUGUUUGGGUUCUUUGUUCAAGCCAUUGUCACAGGAAAGGGGCCGUUGGAGAACUUGGCUGACCACCUUGCUGACCCUGUUGCAAAUAACGCCUGGUCUUAUGCUACAAACUUUGUCCCCGGAAAGUGAAUGUACUAAAUAAGGGUUUUGAUGUAAAAUGAUUUGUGAAUUAAUAUAUAGCUAUUUUUGGGUAUCUUGUGCACAUGGUAAAAUAGCAAUUAGUUGUUAAUUGUUACAACUGUGAUGUGUUUUUUUUGUGUAGACGCAUACCCCAAUAGUAGAAGUGGAUGCACACAAAAGGCCUGGUAAUGGAUCAAGUUUCCGCUUGGACUCGGGUUGUAACCCAUUAAAAAAAUUCAAUUAUCGAUAAGGAAAUCCUGACCAAUUACGACCACCAGUCCAAGGAUUUUAAACUCUUAACCGUUUACGUUCUGGUUAUGCAUACGCGGUUAGGUUAUGCGUACCCGGUUAUAAAGGUCGGAUGAUUAAGCAUUUUUUUUAAAUAUCGA
rnacentral:lncRNA from 1 species